AUGUGCGCCCCUUUUUUUUCUAGUCUGCAAAACGAACAAAGCAUCAACUCCACUCAUAAAUUCACAAGCAACAAGCAAACCUCAAACAAAAUCUUCAUUUACAGACAAAUGUAAGUUAUAGUCACUGUUAGUACAUUUGACAACCCCCUUCCCAAGCUAUCAAACCGAUCCUCCGCCACCUUCCGAUGGUUUCAAUCUCAAUCUCGAAGCACCGCAUACCAAUUUCAGUACACAAGCAAUCAAUAGCCUGUAACAUGCGGCCACAGCUCCGGUAUACCACUGAUUCAACACAAGCCCCCAGCACCGGUGAAACACCAUCUUAAUUCGAUUUCUCUAACUCUCACACUCACACUACUUGAAAUAUACUUAAAGUUCAAAGAGACGAGAAGUAGAAACGGAGCUGAAGUAACCAGACCCUGAAAAAGAUCGGGUCCUUAGCACGCGCCUAAGAGCUUUUUGAUGAGAUCAGUAUUCAGCAAACACCUACAUGAAUGUUCCAUUGUAAUCUAUAUGA
rnacentral:sRNA from 1 species